GCCGGGCGCGGUGGCGCGCGCCUGUAGUCCCAGCUACUCGGGAGGCUGAGGCAGGAGGAUCGCUUGAGUCCAGGAGUUCUGGGCUGUAGUGCGCUAUGCCGAUCGGGUGUCCGCACUAAGUUCGGCAUCAAUAUGGUGACCUCCCGGGAGCGGGGGACCACCAGGUUGCCUAAGGAGGGGUGAACCGGCCCAGGUCGGAAACGGAGCAGGUCAAAACUCCCGUGCUGAUCAGUAGUGGGAUCGCGCCUGUGAAUAGCCACUGCACUCCAGCCUGGGCAACAUAGCGAGACCCCGUCUCUU
rnacentral:SRP_RNA from 1 species